CACGUCAAUCUUUGAACAAAGAAGAAAGAAAGAAUAGAAAAUUUUUGGGGCUAGGUUCGGUGAAGAACAAAAAAUAUGUUACCAAAUUCAAGCAAGUUUUUGAGCUACAACAAAAGAGAAGAUUGCAUCCGGUCAGAAUAUCUUCAAAAGUUAAUUUUCUCAUUUGAGCUACUCCAACAUAUAUCGAACAAAUUCACCAAGUCUCAAGUACAAAUCAAGCAACCAUGGAGAAAGUGAAGUCAAAUAUAGUCAGAAGCUCAUCAACGAUCAGAAAUAAAUCUUGGGGCAAAGCAAAGCUCAACGAACAAGAUCAAAGGAGCUUGAAGAAAAAGGAUGAGAGAGAUGGUAAGUUGCAUGUAACAGAUUCAAAGUCCUCUCUCUUCUGAUAUCACCGCUGUGAACUCUAAUGUUGGAGGAGAAGAUAGCAUUGGGUUUGAACUUGUUUCAACCUUGGAAGUUUCACUCUUCUGUAAGAGGGGUGAACUACCAAGGGUUGGAACGGAGUUGGAGUUGGGCCAUCCUUGCUGCAAGAGUUUGUCUCCGGAAGAGGGGAGGUGACGGGAGUGGAAGUUUUCGCCACUGUUCUGCUCUGCUUACUGAACAGUGCCGGAAUACCGUAGCUACAGCUACCAAAGGAUGCCCUUGCAGCUACCAAAUCCCAUCCCACUCCAGUUUGGGUUCCAGCUCUGGUUCGUUUAUGCCAGGUUUUGUUCUCCCGAGUGUCAGAGCCUCCGUCUUCUUGUGAGUUUUUUCGCUGCUGGUUGAAGCCGCCAUUGUUGGAGCUUGCCAGAGUUAACCCAUGGAGCUACGGCUGCGCUAUACUUAGUUCCUUGUUGGAGACGGAUAACGAGGCUCACGAAGAGUUUUAUCGCAUUUUGCUUAUUCGAUGUUGCUUAGUUAUUAUUUAUUUAUCCCUCGC